UACGGGGGGGGCAAGCGUUGUUCGGAAUUACUGGGCGUAAAGGGUUCGUAGGUGGCUUGCUAAGUCAGACGUGAAAUCCCUCAGCUUAACUGGGGAACUGCGUCUGAUACUGGCGAGCUUGAGUGCAGGAGAGGAACGCGGAAUUCCAGGUGUAGCGGUGAAAUGCGUAGAUAUCUGGAGGAACACCGGUGGCGAAGGCGGCAUUCUGGACCGACAUUGACGCUGAGGAGCGAAAGCCAGGGGAGCAAACGGG
rnacentral:rRNA from 1 species